rnacentral:rRNA from 1 species
CACGUAGGGGGCGAGCGUUGUCCGGAUUUAUUGGGCGUAAAGAGCUCGUAGGCGGUUUCGUUAGUCGGGUGUGAAAACCCCAGGCUCAACCCGGGGACGCCACCCGAUACUGCGAUGACUAGAGUCCGGUAGGGGAGUGUGGAAUUCCUGGUGUAGCGGUGAAAUGCGCAGAUAUCAGGAGGAACACCAACGGCGAAGGCAGCACUCUGGGCCGGAACUGACGCUGAGGAGCGAAAGCGUGGGUAGCGAACAGG